rnacentral:tRNA from 1 species
GUUUUUUUUUUUUAAUAAUAAUAAUUAAAAAUUAUAAAUAUUUAAAUAUUAUUAAAUAUUAAUAAAAUAUA